rnacentral:misc_RNA from 1 species
GCGCUAUUGGUGAUCUCAGCCACUGAAAGCUGUUCAUGAUAUGCCUUCUCUGCCGAGAUGACAGGGGCAUAAGAGGAAAGCAUGAAAUGGAUCCUGGGAUAGGGAACCAGGUUGGUCUGGAACUCUGUUACAUCCACGUUAAGAGCCCCAUCAAACCUCAAAGAGGCAGUGAGGGAUGAGAUCACCUGAGAAACAAGGCGGUUAAGAUU